UCUGAUCUGUGGCUUGGCUAAGGGAACCCACCGGAGCAGUAGCGAAAGUGAGUCUUCAUAGGGCAAUUGUCAUUGCUUAUGGACCCGAACCUGGAUGAUCUAUCCAUGAUCAGGAUGAAGCUUGGGUGAAACUAAGUAGAGGUCCGAACCGACUGAUGUUGAAGAAUCAGCGGAUGAGUUGUGGUUAGUGGUGAAACAU